AGGGGUGUAGCUCAACUGGUAGAGUAGCGGUCUCCAAAACCGUUGGUUGCGGGUUCGAUUCCUGCCGCCCCUGCCA
rnacentral:tRNA from 1 species